GAUGAAGAACGUAGCGAAAUGCGAUAAGUAAUGUGAAUUGCAGAAUUCAGUGAAUCAUCGAAUCUUUGAACGCACCUUGCACCCUUUGGCAUUCCGAAGGGUAUGCUCGUUUGAGUGUCAUUGUACUCUCACACUCUCCGAUCCUAUGGAUUCGGGGAGCGGUGGACUUGGGUGUUGCUGCCUUUCCUUGUGGCUCACCUCAAAUGUGUCAGUGCACCUCUUGGUUGGACAUAGUACGGCGUGAUAAGUGUCUUCGCCGGCACCUCGCAAGAGGGUGGCCGAUCGGGAGCUCUGUGCUUUCCAACUGUCCUCAGACAACAACUGACAACUUGACCUCAAAUCGAGUAGGACCACCCGCUGAACUUAAGCAUAUCAAUAAGCGGAGGA
rnacentral:misc_RNA from 1 species